rnacentral:rRNA from 1 species
AGCAGCCGCGGUAAUUCCAGCUCCAAUAGCGUAUAUUAAAGUUGUUGCAGUUAAAAAGCUCGUAGUUGAAUUUCGGGGUCAGCAGGUUGGUCGUGCCAAUGGUAUGCACUGGCCUUGCUGAUUCCUCCCUCUUGAUGAGCCGUAAUGCCAUUAAUUUGGUGUUGCGGGGAAUCAGGACUGUUACUUUGAAAAAAUUAGAGUGUUUAAAGCAGGCAAGCGCUUGAAUACAUUAGCAUGGAAUAAUGAAAUAGGACGUUCGAUCCUAUUUUGUUGGUUUCUAGGAUUGACGUAA